UGUUCCCGGGCCUUGUACACACCGCCCGUCACACCACGAAAGUUGGCAAUACCCGAAGCCGGUGGCCUAACCCGCAAGGGAGGGGGCCGUCUAAGGUAGGGUCGAUGAUUGGGGUG
rnacentral:rRNA from 1 species